UUUGAUUCUGGGUCCAGGACGAACCGCGGGCGGCCUGCCUUAAUACGUGCAAAUUGAACGCUGAAGCAUUUUGCUUGCAGAGUGCGGAUGAGUGGGGAACGGGGGAGUAACACGUGGGAAAUCUGCCUAGGAGGGGGGGGAUAACAUUCGGAAACGGAUGCUAAUACCGCAUAUCUUUUUGAACCGCAUGGUUUUUAAACGAAAGACGGCUUCGGCUGUCGCUCUUAGAUGAUCCCGCGGCGUAUUAGUUAGUUGGUGGGGUAAAGGCCUACCAAGACCAUGAUACGUAGCCGACCUGAGAGGGUGAUCGGCCACACUGGGACUGAGACACGGCCCAGACUCCUACGGGAGGCAGCAGUAGGGAAUCUUCCACAAUGGGUGAAAACCUGAUGGAGCAAUGCCGCGUGAAUGAAGAAGGUCUUCGGAUCGUAAAGUUCUGUUAUUAGAGAAGAACAAGUCAAGGAGUAACUGUCUUGACUUUGACGGUACCUAACCAGAAAGUCACGGCUAACUACGUGCCAGCAGCCGCGGUAAUACGUAGGCGACAAGCGUUGUCCGGAAUUAUUGGGCGUAAAGGGAGCGCAGGCGGUUGGAAUAGUCUGAUGUGAAAGCCCACGGCUUAACCGUGGAAGGUCAUUGGAAACUGUCCAACUUGAAUACAGAAGAGGUAAGUGGAAUUCCAAGUGUAGCGGUGAAAUGCGUAGAUAUUUGGAGGAACACCAGUGGCGAAGGCGACUUACUGGUCUGUAAUUGACGCUGAGGCUCGAAAGCGUGGGUAGCAAACAGGGUUAGAUACCCUGGUAGUCCACGCCGUAAACGAUGAGUGCUAAGUGUUAGGGGGUUUCCGCCCCUUAGUGCUGGAGUUAACGCAUUAAGCACUCCG
rnacentral:rRNA from 1 species